UAUUUGAACAAUAAUAAAAAAUGUGAAAAAAUAAAAACCUUAAAAAAGAACCUUGUAAGGUUUUGGUUUGUGUCAUCUGAAUGGGGGAAAAUUAAAACCUACUGCUUAGUGCUUAUAUUUUCCCAUGUACUGUAGAAAAAGGCUGUUAUAUUUUUUGUACAAUCUUGAAAAGUGAAGGAGAUUGUUGUAUCGUGAGGAAAACAGGCUGGGAGACUAAGUUUGGGGACCAGUGAUGUGACAAAUCGUGUGAUGUGGUCAAGUUCGGUUACUACUAGGUUGUUUCCUCCUCUGUUAAGGAGCCAGAGAGAGGGAGAGGGGAAGCCACAGGUGGAUUUGUUACCUGUCUCUGCACUUGAAGGUAACAGCACAGCUUGCCCACUGCCUACUUUCCUGCUCUGUGGGGUGGGUUCACCUCUGCCCCCUGGGUUACUUAGGAUGGGUCCUGUGGCCUUUCACAUAGACAGUGAAAUGCCCCCAGUCAUUUCAAGUCACACAGUGUCAUUUCAGUGAUGAAAAUGUCCACCCCUGUUCGAAAGGAGAAUCUGAACUUAAGUCACCUUGUCCUGUAGCCCAGGCCUCUCCAGGCAGGAAGCCUGCAGGGGAGGGGUGCUGGGCAGCUCUCCCUGCCCUCCCCCACCCUCCACCCUGCUCCUUGCCCAUCCCUGAGCCUGGGAGCAGAGAAAGUGACGAGAGCGUCACUGACCACCGACCGAGCUUGUCUGGUGUUUAAAGCUGACUUUCUUGGUGGACACUUGCGAGAUACUGUGGGAGGCUCCUGACACCAGAAACCUCUGGCCUGUGGUCACCUUGCUGCAGCCAGCCGCACCCCCUCGAGGGUUAGUGGUGACCUCGUGCUGGUGCCUGGUCUCAGGGUGGCACUGAGGCCAUGCCAGGAGGGCUCUGUGCAGUCACUGCCUGGUUCCUCCACUGUGUGACACUGCAGCCAGUGUCUUGCUGCUCUCUCUGCAGCCAUCACGGAUGCCAGUCUGUGCUGUCCCAGCUCCCAGGGAUACCGGGCUCUCCUAGCCACACCUGCUGGUUGCGUGGAGGGGCUGGAGGUGCAGGCAGGCUUGGGGGAGGAAGCAAGACUCCUGGCCUGGCAACACCUGACUCUAGGAAACUGUCUCUGCUCUCUGACCUCUUCCAACCACGGAGGUGGACCCGCAGGGCGGUAGUGGGUUGUCAACCAGACCGUUGGCUCCCUGUUUGGCUGGUCUCACAUGCUGUUGACAUGUGACAGUAUGUGCCACUGCUUGGUUCUGAGACAGAUGUCCCAUUUUAACACUGUUACAUUUGCUUGUCUAGGGUGCAUCUAGAACCCCAGGUGAAGACUUA